rnacentral:rRNA from 1 species
UAACAAGGAUUCCCCUAGUAACUGCGAGUGAACCGGGAAAAGCUCAAAUUUUGAAUCUGGCGGUCUUUAUGGCCGUCCGAGUUGUAAUCUAGAGAAGCGUCUUCCGCGCUGGACCGUGUAUAAGUUUCCUGGAAUGGAACGUCGUAGAGGGUGAGAAUCCCGUCUUUGACACGGACUGCCAGGGCUAUGUGAUGCGCUCUCGACGAGUCGAGUUGUUUGGGAAUGCAGCUCAAAUAGGGUGGUAAAUUCCAUCUAAAGCUAAAUAUAGGCGAGAGACCGAUAGCGAACAAGUACCGUGAGGGAAAGAUGAAAAGAACUUUGGAAAGAGAGUUAAACAGUACGUGAAAUUGCUGAAAGGGAAACGCUUGAUGUCAGUCGCGUUUGUCGGGGAUCAGCCUUGCUCUUUUGCUCGGCGUACUUCCUGGCGAACGGGUCAGCAUCAGUUUUGUUCGUCGGAAAAUGGCUCGAGAAAKGUGGCACUCUUCGGGGUGUGUUAUAGACUCGGGUCGAAUACGACGUYCGGGACUGAGGAACUCAGCACGACCUUCGGGUUCGGGGCUUAGGCCCACGUUAACGUGCUUAGGAUGCUGGCAUAAUGGCCUUAAGCGACCCGUCUUGAAACACGGACCAAGGAGUCUAACUCGCAUGCGAGUGUUUGGGCGAUUAAAACCCGAGCGCGUAAUGAAAGUGAAAGUCGAGACCCCUGUCGUGGGGGGCAUCGACGCCCGGACCAGAGCUUCUGCGACGGAUCUGCGGUAGAGCAUGCGUGUUGGGACCCGAAAGAUGGUGAACUAUGCCUGAAUAGGGUGAAGCCAGAGGAAACUCUGGUGGAGGCUCGUAGCGAUUCUGACGUGCAA